UGAUGUGAGGGCGAUCUGACUGCGACAUCUGUCACCCCAUCAAUCACUAGGGUUGAUUCAGCUGAUCUGGCUGGCCAGGCGGGUGUCCCCUUCCUCCCUCACCGCUCCAUGUGCGUCUCUCCUGAAGAGGAUGGAUUUCCCUGAAUAGAGAUGGACUAUUGUUUGGUUCAGGGUAUAGGAGUAGCUGUGCUUCCCUUCUAGAGCAUACACACAAGCUCUCCAAAAGUAUACUUCAGUGUUUUUUUUAUUCUCU
rnacentral:snRNA from 1 species